GUGCACAUCACUGAAAUCCAAAGCUAAAUAAAGUAACGUAGAAAAUAUAAUAAAGUAGUGAUCAGGGCAGACUCAGAUCCUGUCCUUUUAGAGAUUAUACUUUCCUGAUCGGAGAUGGAGUGAAAGCAAACAGCCAACAAUUACACUUCACUAUCAGACUCCAGUAAUACAAAGUAAAAGAAAGGGCUGGAGAGAUGGCUCCGCGGUUUAAGACUGCAUACUGCUCUUGCAGACCCAGGCUCAGCAUCUUUAUGAAGUAGCCUUCGAAUAUCUGUAACUAGCUGAGAUCCAACACCUGCUUCUGGCCUCCUUGUAUGUUUGUGGUGGACAUACAGCCUAGCAGGGACACACAUAUACAGCAGACCAAGAAAAGGAAAAGGAAGUGAAAAUAUAGUUCUACGCCACAUAAACAGAGUAGCCUGAUCUAGCAGGAGGCUCAGAGUAGGUCUCCCAAAAGAAUGACAGCCAAGCUGGGACCUGAAGCAAGUAAUUGAUGAGGCGAUGUGGGUAGGAACAUAGUGUCGGAUAUGGGUUACGUCACAGGGUAUUCCAAGCAGCAUUGAUAAAAAGGGGGUAACCUUUGAGGAACAAAGGAAUAGCCAAAGAGCCUCAGUAAGAGUAGCGACAUGGAACCACAUAAGCCAAUUUGAGAUCAUGCAGAGCCUUUGUGAACCAACUGAAAAGUUUUAAAGGACAGAACUGGAAAGAAAGUAAGAAAGGGAACAAUGUGAUUGGAUUUGAGCUUUUAAAACUUGCAUGUCCUGGCCGGACAUGGUGGUGUAUGCCUAUAAUCCUAUCAACUUAGAAGUUGAGGUAAGAUGGUGUCUAUGAGCGCCACAUAACUUGGUGGGUGUCAAGCUAUCCUGUAGGAUUAUGGUCCUGUAUGACAGUCUUGCCUACUCAAAAAGGGCAACAACAGCAGCAACAAUGACAACAAACUUCUUGUUCCUAAUGAGUGAAAUUGACAAAUUCUCAUAUGUAUGUGACACUUUUCAAAAUUAUCUUCCAUAAGCCAGGGUGGUGUUAUGCAUCUUUAAUCCAAGCAUUGGGGAGACAGAGGCAGGUAGAUCUCUGUGAAUUUGAGGCCAGCCUGGAAAUCAUAGUGAGUUCUGGGACAGUCAGGGAUACAUGGGGGGAGGGGGGACUGUGUCUCAAAUUAAAAGUGUCUUCUGGUUGGGAGAUGGUUCUAUGGAUUAAAUACUUGUCCCUGGUAGAGUAAGGACCUCAAUUCUGUUCACUAGUGCCCAUGAAAAAGGCACUUGGAACCCAGCCAGGCACCUUGGAAGCCCAGCACUCCAGAGGCAGAGAUGGGCCCUGCAGAACAAUAUGACCAGCUAGACAAGCUAGAAAUCCAUUUCCUUCACCAAGAGACCCUACCUCAGCAAAUAAAGAGGAAAAUGGUGGGAAAGCUUCAUGAUACUUAACAUCAACUUCAGGCCCACGCACAUGUAAACAUGCAUACACACAUGAAGGCUCAACACACAUGUGCACAUGCACAUCUAUAUACAAACACAUGCAUGUACACACAUGUACACAGGUGUGUACACAGGCACACACACGUGUACAUGCACACGUGAACAAACACCAACUUUGUAAGACUUGUCUUUCUCUUUUAUUAAGCUUUUCUAUAGCCUUACCUUUGUAGAGAGUCGUAGACUGUUUUAAACAUAGAGUCAGAGGACUAACAACAGUUAGACUCCUGGCUCCUCACUUUCUACUUUCAGGACUUAGGAAAAGUGUUGUCCAGGGCUCCCCUGCUUGAGCUAUUUGAUGCAGUAGCUUCUCUUUCUAUGUGACUAACUUCUAGUCCUAAAAAUUAGUGUGAAAUCCGCAAGACAUUUCUGGAAAGUUAAUUUACCCAUUCCUUUGUUGGACAAAAGAACAGACAUUUACUAAGCAUUAACUGUGUACCCUGCACUAUGGCUGCUGAGAAUGCAGAUCCAGGUAAUAUGGGGACCCUGUGUUUUGGGAACCUACAGUAGAGUGGGGAAUAGGCCAUGAAACUAAAGCAAAGACAUAAUGACAACAAAGCAGCAUCUGCUGCAGGAGAGGAAGCAAGAAAGGAGUUCUGGAGCUAAGAGUUAGAGAGAGGGUUAGAAGGACCUAAACGUGCUGUGCACUCAGUAGAUACAGGAUGGGGAGAUAAACGUCUGAGCAGCUGAAGGAUAAGGGAAGCCGGAGUGGGCAGAGUAAGAGGAACAGAGAGUACUUUAGACCAUAGAUUAAGAAAUUGUUUAAAGUGGUCUCUUGAGAUUGUUUAAUCAGGAGUAAACUAGACGGUUUGAAAAGGAGCGAUUACAGACCAGGAGGCAACUAACCCUGGUGAAAGUGGAGGAAAGGGAUGUUCUCUUGUCAGGAGCUGAGACGACCUUCCAUUUCCUUGACCUUAAACUGCACCAGGCAGUACAGCACCUGGCCCACUAGUGGUCCUUGCAUGACCUCAUGAAUCAACACCUGUUCUUCCACGGGCGAGUGACCAUCUCACCUCCUGAAGUCCCCCUAGACUCUAAUGCUGUGCUCUGAAUGCCAUGCGCACCUGUCAACACUGACUCCCUGGGCUGAGGUGGAAGAGAGGGGGUAGGAGGACAGAGAGGAAAACUAGGGCUGCCAAUGGCGGUUGCAAAGGGUUUACUACUGUCUUCCUUUUGCACAAGUGUAAUGAUGCAUUUAUGUGUUUAGUUUAUUUCAUUCGAUAAUGUUUUAAAGACAAGAAAGCCAUCAAGGAUUACAGCAUUGGUUUGUAUUGUGAAAGGUUUUAAGUACCUAGAUAUCCAUGCUAUCAUGCUGUUGAGGUGAGGUCACUGACGAAAAGAAGUUAAUAAUUUACAAUUUUGUUCAUAAGGAUGUAGAUACAAAUCUUCAUGUUCUUAAUCAUCCCAUCAAUGUUAAAAAACCAUUCAUAGAAGGUUUGAGAUAAUUUUACAUGAUGCUUAAAGUUAUUUUUUAUUCUCAGUGCAAAUAUGAUCGCUCUUUUGCUUCCUUUCUGACCUCUGACCCCACUUCACUCACUUUGCUAACUCCUAAACUUUCUGUACAAACCCAUCAUUUCAAAAUCGUGUUGUUAAAAAAAUGUAAGCAAAAAUGAAAGAUGAAGAAAGAGAGGUAACUAGAAGAACCGUGUUGUGAUGGGAGAGAAAAGGAGAGGGCAGUGGGAGAAAAGCAGAAAGGAGAAAUGGAAAAAGGGAGAAAGGGAGACAGAGAGAAUGCAAGGAAAAGAUGUGUUUGUGUUUUGGGGAUUUGGGGGGGAAAAGCCAACCAGAUUUUCCAGAAAGUUAAGAGGGAAAAUAUUUUUGUUCUCAGAGUUUUUUAGUGUGCUUUCCAAGCCAUUGCAUUCCUAAAUAUAACCAAAGAUGAUCAUUUCAGAAGCCAGCCAAUAUAAACAUAGCAGAUGUUUUUAUUUCAACAUUAACAACAUGACAUCGGAGCUGCAGAAGAUCUUUUAAGUUGGCUAUACUUUAUUUUUUUUCUUAAAAUUUUCCAUUUCCAGUCCUCUAUUACAAUACGCCCUUCCCGUGCAUCAGGAGGACCGUACGGUGUCAAGGAGAGACAGAAAUGGGAUGGAAGGGGCAAGAAGGGGACGGCAGAAGACGCAUCAUUUCUCAGUGACACAAAGAGGGAAGAGUUCUCUCCAGCCUCGACCUAAAGCAGGACUGCUGAAAUGUCAGUGUGCUUCCUCUGGUCCACCUCGGUGCUUAUUAAAGACAGCCUUUGGGGGACCCUAGGGGAUGCUCAUGCUGCUCAGGAGUGCAUACAGAUUUGAGGGCAAGGACUAAAGAAUUUGGAUUUUUUUUUCAACCCAGUCUCAUCUCACACUGGAAACCUCCAGCAGGAAUCUACAGAGGAGAAAUCCUUUACUGACACCAAGGAAGAAAAGGAAGGAUGUGCAUUGUCAGGGAUCCUGAGCAUCUGAUACCAUAGUGGUGGAAACUCCCUCUUGUCUGCCCAGAUGUAGAAAUAUUAUUGGAGCGAGAGACUGGGAAACUUGCCUGCUUGGAAACCCGACUGCCCUGUCUUCUUGGUUUUGGCAACCUUGUCUUGGGAAUCUGUCUCCGUCCCCAUGAAGUAAGGCAUACACUGUAGACAGAACUUCUAAGAGUAAAUGUCACACAUUAGUGUUCACAUGUAUUCAGUCCUCAAAUCUAAGGCCGUCUCUUUCCUCUAGACUGGUCAACAGGCAAAGUGUGCACCCUCUUGUCUAAGGUCUCGGCCAAAAGGCUCGACUGCCCGUUUGCCUAUGAACAAAAACAGUUACCACAGGACACAAACUCUGGCCGACAGCACCUUACUGGACUCAGUCUCCCAGACUAAGGACAUUCCAGUUCAGCCCCGCAGCAGACAAGACUCCAGGACAUCGGCAGCUUGGGAGGCGACGCUUUCUUCACUGUGUAUAAGAUAGUACUAUGUACAGAGUGAGAAACAGCCCCUGCUAUGAUAAGCACUGGGUGGGAGACAGAUCUGCUGGGGUGAGAUUACCCCAGUCUCUAUCAAGCAGUAAUACAUCAGGUCUCAGAGGCUUGGACUCCUUGUCGUGAAUCUACUGGACAGACCCGCUACUCAGCUCAACAGGCACUAUAAGCAUGCCAACUCCAGGCAGCUUCGGUGGGGUUUCCUCAAGGCUCUGGGAAGGGCUACCGAUCCUGUCUCCAUUCCUGAGGUCCUCUUCCCCAGCUGAACCGCCUUCUGAGGUGCCCACUACGGACGCAGAGACCCUGCCUGCUACUGGAGUUGUUAUUUUUACUCUAAGCCCAACGCAGGCCAGCCUGAAUCACAUGGCUGACUGGUACAAAGGCUGCUUUUAAAAAUGUUCUUCAUUGGAAUUUUUGGUGUCUGGAGAGGACUUCCUCUCCUCCCACAGUUAAUUAACAACAUCACACCAUUUCCCUUUCCCCCACACAAAGUCUGUGCUUGCCUCUGAGGCCAGGCAGAGGGGAUCGCAGGUGUGGCCAAACACUCCUUGAGGUUAACCUCAAACUUAAGCUUAGGGCCAGAACUUGGCCAGCAGUAGCGUGAAGUGCAGGGUAGUUUCCGUUCUGGGCCGAGUUGGCAAGCGGGCACUCGCCCAGGGCAAGCUAGGGACUUGUUUGCCAGUCAAGUGAGGGAUGAGAGAGGAGGGUGGGGAGCCAAUGUGUGUUUGGCACAUUUGUAAAUUGUUUCUUCAACAAAGACUUUUUUUUAAAAAAAAGACAACAGAGUGAACCUUUAUAUAUGUGAAUGGAAGGCAUACAAAAGAACGCACUGUCCUGAGAUUCACAUGAGUAAUUGUGCAUGACUUCAGCCUUCCCGUUGAAAUGGCAGGAUGGUUAUGGGCAUUCCAGCAUUUCCAAUGGGACGGAGUUAUGAGGAAGACAGACGAGUGGGAAGCUGGAGCCUGAGGCACUAUGCCGGGUCUCAGUUUGCAUCGAUUUAAUUGAAAUGCUCCCUCCUACUUCCUGUCCCUCCCCACCACUUCUCCCGUCUGGUGACUUCUAUCUCCUGUCAAUUCACUGUUUACUGGACAAUGGUAACAGCCAACCACAGAACAGGGAGUGUUGUCCUGGAGUCUGUCAUUCUGCCAGAUGUUCUACUCUGAGCAAACUAGCUAUCCUUCCUCCGUCUCGAUUCUAGGACCCUAGGGGGGUUAAAUGUGUGCACACACGUGAGGUUUAGCUCAGCGCCUGGAGCAUAGUAUACCAUCAAUAAAAGCUAGGAUUUCCUUUGUGUCCCACUUGCUAGCACAAGACAUCAUAUGUCACAGAUGAGUGCUUUUCAUCAUGUGUGUCAUAAUUGCCUGAGGAGCUUUAAAAUUAAUUUAAAGGAUCAAGGUUCCAUUACUCCAGGGCUGAAAGCAGCUAAUGAUCUUUUGGACAGUCACAUUGAGAACCAGUAUCAUAGGCACGCAAUGAGUAUUUGUUGAGAAAGUGCAGGAGUAAACCAAGUGGGACCAGAAAGAACAAACUCUUUAUGAAUGUCAGCCAUGAUUCUGUCUGUCUCUUUUAGAGUUGUCGUCUUUGAACCAGUAGAGAACCAGAAGUUAACACGGGAGAUCAGAGAGUGUGUGUCAUUGCCUCCUGUCUGUUUGUGCAGACUUAUUGCCUGGGAUUUGGAAGAACUCCAGCCAGAAGCUGAACUUUGAAUUUUCCUCCACUUUUCAUUUUGAAUUGCAACCUGACUUGAUUCCCCCCCACACACCUUUAAUUUAGUGAACACAAUAAAAAAUUUAAAGAGCACAAAUAAAAUACUUGUACCACUCCAA